AUUGAACGCUGGCGGCAUGCCUAACACAUGCAAGUCGAACGGAAACGGGCCUUCGGUUGUCGACGAGUGGCGGACGGGGGAGUAAUACAACCGAACGUGUCCGAUCCUUGUGGGUAACGAGGCAAAAGGUUUGCUAAUACCUCAUACGAGCUACGGAUGAAAACAGGGUGCCGCAAGGGCUUGCGCCGGCGUAGCGGUCGAUGGUAGAUUAGGUAGUUGGUGGGAUAAAAGCUUACCAAGCCGACGAUCUGUAGCUGGUCUGAGAGGAUGAUCAGCCACACUGGAACUGAGACACGGCCCAGACUCCUACGGGAGGCAGCAGUGGGGAAUUUUGGACAAUGGGCGCAAGCCUGAUCCAGCCAUGCCGCGUGCAGGAUGAAGGCCUUCGGGUUGUAAACUGCUUUUGUACGGAACGAAAAGCCUUCUUUUAAUACAGGAGGGUCAUGACGGUACCGUAAGAAUAAGCACCGGCUAACUACGUG
rnacentral:rRNA from 1 species